CCGUGUGGUAUUGAUUCAUUUCUGUGUUCGUUCUAUGUAUUAAUUAGUUUAACGUUAUCUGUGCAUCAUUACUGUGAUCGUCAGUGUCAAUGUUGAACUUCCCUCCCUUCCAUGUCUAUGUCUAUGUGUGCUUGGAAUAAAUAUCUGCUACCAACAAAACAACGCUGCCAGUGAUGUCACUUCAAGAGUAGAACCGAAAACAUAACACUGGGGUCAGAAGUGGGAAAAAGAUGACGAUGCUUUCACUGAUCAACGACCUCAUCAACCAGCUACAUCAGGAAGAACUCAUUGCAUGGCUGCAGUGGGAGGGGGUUGACGGAGCCAGGGUUGCCGCCCAAGCACCGGGUCACCAGUGCCACCGCCCCACCUGAACAUGGGGCCAACUCCAGUGGUGUGCCAAGGCCUGCCAUCAGCUGCCAUCAGGGGUCUCGGGAUCAGCUGCCGACUUCUCUGCGGCUCACCCAGGAACCAAUCCUGCAGCAUCAGGAGCAUUUUGGAGGGAAGUAAUGAAGAAGGGCUCUACCUACAGUUUUCACUUGACAUCCUUCUUUGCAACUGUACUUCUAAGAGCCAGGAGAUGACAUGCAGCAUAAAAAAUGUCAUUAGACCAGUGCAGUGCAGUGGAAUAUGACAUUAGACCAGUGCAGUGGAAUAUGUCAUUAGACCAGUGGAGGAGGAAUAUGACAUUACACCAGUGCAGUGGAAUAUGACAUUAGACCAGUGCAGUGCAGUGGAAUAUGACAUUAGACCAGUGCAGAGGAAUAUGACAUUAGACCAGUGCAGUGCAGUGGAAUAUGUCAUUAGACCAGUGCAGUGGAAUAUGACAUUACACCAGUGCAGUGCCAUCUGAACACUGGGGCAUAUACACUUGUUGUUUCAAGUAUGUGGGUUUUUUUAAGAGAGGAAGAGAAAGAAAGACAGAAAGUUUUACUGGUAAUUACUUUUAGAUAUAGUAUGCACCAAUGUCUGCUUAAAUACUGACCAACUGAUUAUUAUUCAACCAAUAUUUACUUUCACAUGUAUCUGUGUAGCCAACACGAAAUGAAUACAUGUGAAUGCUCCCUGAAUAUAUUAUAUAUAUAAAUAUAUAUAUAAUAUUGAACCUAUGACGUUGGUGGUAUAAACAAUUUUAUGCACGGACAGGUAAAAAAAGAUAAAAGAUGAAAGCAUAAACAAUCAACUAAACAGUCUUAAAGCUGCCACUGAUCACUACCUCCUUAAAUACCAAUUAGAGUAUCAGUGGCCAGUAAUGUAUUCAAUGGAGCGGCCAGAGGCUGCCAGUGUGAGUGCACUGAUUUGGAAUGUGUGUCAUGUGCAACAGCGAGAGCUGGAGUGGCCACUCCCCCUGCCUAAUGGACUAAGAUAAAAUGGGUGGGAAUGGACUUAAAUUAGUGGGGUAAUUGCAGUAUAACCCCAUUCCUCUGCCCAGUCCCUCCCACACACACACACACACACACAUACACUUGAUAAAAAGAGCAACUCCAGGGAUGGUUGCCAGCUGUUUCUUUGGACAAUCCAACAUUUGCAAAUCACUGAGCACGCACGGAGCAAUAGAGCAAGUCAGAGAGACUGUGAAAAAUACAGAAGAAAAGAAAAAGAGG
ensembl:lncRNA